rnacentral:rRNA from 1 species
UACGUAGGUGGCAAGCGUUUGUCCGGAUUUACUGGGCGUAAAGAGCGCGUAGGCGCCUUCUAAGUCGAACGUGAAAUCCCCGGGCUCAACCCGGGAACUGCGUCCGAUACUGGAAGGCUUGAAUCCGGGAGAGGGAUGUGGAAUUCCAGGUGUAGCGGUGAAAAUGCGUAGAUAUCUGGAGGAACACCGGUGGCGAAGGCGACAUCCUGGACCGGUAUUGACGCUGAGGCGCGAAAGCCAGGGGAGCAAACGGG